ensembl:lncRNA
UCUCAGUGAACAAAUGAGUCUUAGUAAACAAAUGAGUCUCAGUGAAGAAAUGAGUCUCAGUGAACAAAUGAGUCUUAGUGAACAAAUGAGUCUUAGUAAACAAAUGAGUCUCAGUGAGGAAAUGAGUCUCAGUGAACAAAUGCGUCUUAGUGAUGAAAUGAUUCUUAGUGAGGAAAUGAGUCUUAGUGAACAAAUGAGUCUUAGUAAUGAAAUGAGUCUCAGUGAGGAAAUGAGUUUAGUGAGGAAAUGAGUUUAGUGAGGAAAUGAGUCUUAGUGAACAAAUGAUCUUAGUGAGGAAAUGAGUCUUAGUGAACAAAUGAGUCUUAGUGAAGAAAUGACUCUUAGUGAAGAAAUGAGUCUUAGUGAACAAAUGAGUCUUAGUGAACAAAUGAGUCUUAGUAAUGAAAUGAGUCUUAGUGAACAAAUGAGUCUUAGUGAGGAAAUGAGUCUUAGUGAACAAAUGAGUCUUAGUGAUGAAAUGAGUCUUAGUGAACAAGC